rnacentral:rRNA from 1 species
CAGCAGCCGCGGGAAUACGGAGGGUGCAAGCGUUAAUCGGAAUUACUGGGCGUAAAGCGCACGCAGGCGGUCUGACAAGUCAGAUGUGAAAUCCCCGGGCUUAACCUGGGAACUGCAUUUGAAACUGUCAGGCUGGAGUCUUGUAGAGGGGGGUGGAAUUCCAGGUGUAGCGGUGAAAUGCGUAGAGAUCUGGAGGAAUACCGGUGGCGAAGGCGGCCCCCUGGACAAAGACUGACGCUCAGGUGCGAAAGCGUGGGGAGCAAACAGGAUUAGAUAUCCGUGUAGUCCCUGUCUCUUAUAC